AGCUAGGAAAAGGUUCAGACCUUUGUAUAAAAUUUUUGUACAGUGGAACCUCCAGGUUUUCCGAGUAGCAACCAACACCAGCUGACUCCCCAGCUUGGCAAACAUUUGACCAUAAGCACCCAGAAUUUGCAAAGGAUCCUAGAAAUAUAAGGCUUGGUUUAGCAUCAGAUGGAUUUAAUCCAUUCAAAAAUAUGAGUACAACAAAUAGUACGUGGUCGAUUAUUUUAAUGUCAUAUAAUCUUCCACCAUGGAUGUGUAUGAAGCAACCAUACUUUAUGUUGUCGCUAUUGAUACCUGGCCCAACUGCUCCAGGAAAUAAUAUAGACAUCUACUUGCAACCACUUAUUGCAGAUUUGAAAGACUUAUGGGAGAUAGGAGUUCAAACAUAUGAUGCAUCAACUAAACAAAAUUUUCAAUUACAUGCAACAUUACUAUGGACAAUAAGUGAUUUCCCUGGAUAUGCUAUCUUAUCAGGAUAGAGUACUAAAGGACAACUUGCAUGCCCAGUGUGUCACAAGUUUACACAUUCACAAUGGUUAAAAAAUGGUGGAAAAUAUUGUUAUAUGGGUCAUCGUAAGUUUUUAAAUAGUGAUUAUGCAUUUUGGAAAAAUACUCAAUUUUUUGAUGGCACAGAAGAAUAUGGAAAACCACCACCCAAACUAUCAGGAAGCAUGGUGAUAAAUGAGUUGAAAAAUUCUAAAUUUACAUUUAGGAAAACAAUUAAUGAUAAUUCAGCACUACCAUUCAAUUGGAAAAAAUUCAGUAUUUUCUUUGAUUUAUCAUAUUGGAAAGAUAAUGUGAUACGUCACAAUCUUGACUUUAUGCAUAUUGAAAAGAAUGUAUGUGAAUCUAUUUGUGGGACAUUGUUGAAUAUGAAAGGAAAAACGAAAGAUAAUCUUAAAGCACGACUUGAUUUACAAGAAAUAGGGAUAAGAUCAUCACUUCAUCCUAUUGAGAAAGGACAAAAGAAAGUUUAUUUACCUCUAGCAUCUUUUUCAAUGGGAAAAAAAGAGAAGGGUAUAUUUUGCAAGGUCUUAAAAAAAAUUAAAGUUCCAGAUGGCUAUGCAUCCAACAUAUCACGAUGUGUUCAAAUGAAACCGUCAAAAUUAGUUGGUCUAAAAAGUCAUGAUAAUCACAUUUUGAUGCAACAAUUGUUGCUAGUCGCACUACAAAAAACUUUAUCUAAAUCAAUUCGGAUUCCUUUGAUUAGAUUAAGCAGAUAUUUUCGAGAGUUAUGUUGUAAAGUAAUUUCUCCUACGGAUAUGGUUAGUCUGACGAGAGAUAUUGCAGUGAUCCUAUGUGAAUUGGAAAAAAAAUUUCCUCCCUCAUUUUUUGACAUAAUGGUUCAUCUAACUAUUCAUUUAGCUACUGAAGUACAACUUGCCGAGCCAGUUCACUACCGUUGGAUGUAUCCAAUUGAAAGGUACCUGGGGGCAUUGAAGUCUUAUGUUCGAAAUAGAAGUAGGCCGGAAGGAUCUAUUGCUGAAGGGUAUUUAGCUGAGGAAUGUUUGACCUUCUACUCUUUAUAUUUAGCAGAUUAUGUAGAGACAAGAUUUAAUCAAUCAUCAAGAAAUGAUGAUAUAAAUAUUGAAUCAACAUUCUCAAUAGAUAUCUUUAACAUCUCUGGUUAUGCACUUGGAAAAGCCAUUGCAACUAAGUUUGAAACUGAGAUAUUAAAGAAGGCACAUCAAUAUGUGUUAUUUAAUUGUCAUCAUGUACAAUCUUAUAUAGAGUAUGUUUUUAUAUAAAUCAUAGUGUUUAGAUAUAUAACUAUUUAAGUCAUCAUUAUAUACAAAAUUAAUAUUAUUAAUUUGCAGUGAACACCGAAGAAUUAUGAGUCUGAGUCAUUCUCGUCUUCCACUACACCAAAUUGAGCAUAUACAUAGUGAAACUUUUGCCUCAUGGUUUGCCAAUCAUAUUGAAGAUGCAAAUCUUGUAGAAGAUGAUCCAGUGUCAAAUGAUUUGAGAUCAAUCGCCAGAGGCCCUAAUGUCAUUGGGAUACGAUAUGAAAAAUUUAUUUCAAAUGGAUUUAGGUUCCAUACAAAGGAAGUGGAGUGUAAGAGAAAAACUCAAAAUUAUGGUGUAACUGUUAGAGCAACUACUUCAAGUUAUUCAAGUGUAAAAGAUCAUAAUCCAGUAUUAAGUGAACUUGAUUAUUAUGGAAUUUUGCAAAAUGUGAUUGAGUUAGAUUAUGGAGGAGGCCGAAAAGUUAUUUUAUUUGAAUGUAAGUGGGUCUCCAAAGGCAAACGAUUAAAAUUGGAUGAAGAUGGUUUUGUGUUGGCCAAUUUUAAAAAUGUUAGGCAUAAUAAUGAGCCUUAUAUUUUAGCAUCUCAGGUUAUGCAAGUAUUUUACGUGGAAGAUCCAAUUGAUUGUGAUUGGCAUGCUAUUAUCACCACUGAUGCACGAGCAAAGUAUAAAAUGCAGCCUAUGACAGAUGUCGAUACAUAUCUUCAAAGUUAUAUUUGUAAUUCUGAAGACUGCAGUGAACAUGAAGAAGUGGUUUGGGUUCGUGAUGAAUAUUACAGGAGUGGAAAUUGAUAAUGAUAUAAGUAAAUUUUAUCUAUUCUAUGCACUUAUGUUUAGUCAAUUAUCAUUUCAAUAAUAGUACAAUGAAUUUUUUAUUCUUUUUA